GACGAACGCUGGCGGCACGCUUAACACAUGCAAGUCGAACGGUGAAGAGAAGCUUGCUUCUCGGAUCAGUGGCGGACGGGUGAGUAACACGUGAGCAACCUGCCUUUAAGAGGGGGAUAACGUUUGGAAACGAACGCUAAUACCGCAUAACAUAGAAGAUUCGCAUGUUUCUUCUAUCAAAGAUUUAUCGCUUAAAGAUGGGCUCGCGUCUGAUUAGCUUGUUGGUGAGGUAACGGCUCACCAAGGCGACGAUCAGUAGCCGUACUGAGAGGUAGAACGGCCACAUUGGGACUGAGACACGGCCCAGACUCCUACGGGAGGCAGCAGUGGGGAAUAUUGCACAAUGGAGGAAACUCUGAUGCAGCGAUGCCGCGUGAGGGAAGAAGGUUUUCGGAUUGUAAACCUCUGUCUUCAGGGACGAUAAUGACGGUAC
rnacentral:rRNA from 1 species